GAUGAACGCUAGCUACAGGCUUAACACAUGCAAGUCGAGCGACCGGCGCACGGGUGAGUAACACGUAUCCAACCUGCCCUUUACUCGGGGAUAGCCUUUCGAAAGAAAGAUUAAUACCCGAUAUGAAGGAUGGGGAUGGGUUCCAUUCGGUUGUUGGUGAGGGAACGGCUCACCAAGCCUUCGAUGGAUAGGGGUGGUGAGAGGAAGGUCCCCCACAUUGGAAAUGAGACACGGUCCAAACUCGUACGGGAGGGAGCAGUGAGGAAUAGUGGUCAAUGGGCGCUAGCCUGAACCAGCCAAGUAGCGUGAAGGAGGAAGGCUGAUGGGUCGUAAACUUCGUUUAUAGAAGAAUCGGUAUUAGAUGAAUAAGGAUCGGCUAACUCCGUGCCAGCAGCCGCGGUAAUAC
rnacentral:rRNA from 1 species